ACGGCCGUGUCCGUAUUCGCGGCGUCAGUCAUUAGCCUACUCUGGAGCUAGCCUACAUAAUUGAGCACAUUGCACUGCUCUACAAUGACAUCGAUGCAGACGCCCCCUUUGUCUUCUCUUCUGAAGUGUAACAAAAUGAUAAUAUUAUCAUAAAAUGAUAAACGAAUGACGUGGAUUCCUGUAACUGUCCAUGAAAACAGAAGGCAUAGCAGGUUUUUAGUCAGGAUUAAUCCUGACUCCAACAAGUGCACUGCCAAGGAGCAGAUGAGCAAGACGACUGAGAGAGUGGUGAAGCAGAAGACGUCAUACAUGAACCCCCAUGUAAUCUCCUUCAUCAGGGACCUCACUGAAUUCUAUUUGCUAACUGACUAGAUGCAGGACAACUGGGAUUCUGGGUCUCCAAGGUCAGGGGACCAUAGACCUUUUUAUCAAGUGGCAGGGGAAUGAGAUUUGUAAGAAGUUUCUUUUCAUUUCUGUUUUAAAUGUUCAUGCACAUGUUCAUUAUUGUUCAAUGUUUUAUUUUAUUUCAAUAUUGCCAUUGUGUUAAUCAUUGCUCUUUAAAACGUGCAAAUAAGGUUGGUUAUUUUUUUUGACCGUAUUUUAUCAAUUCACAUUAUUGUUCCAUCAUGUUAACUUUGGAUAGUCUAAUGGCGUGUCGUCCAUUAUCCCUAACUUAUGUUGUACCUGUUUUGUCAUGUUCCUGUUCACCAAAUGUCUAAAAUAAAUAACUGUUAACAAUUUCUUGUUGUCCCAGACCCAGCUCUUUAGAGAGCAUCUCCUCAUAGCACCACU